rnacentral:misc_RNA from 1 species
UGAACGGCUUUGUGCAUUCGUUUCA